AGACAGCAGCCGCCACGGUAAUACGGAGGGUGCAAGCGUUAAUCGGAAUUACUGGGCGUAAAGCGCACGCAGGCGGUCUGACAAGUCAGAUGUGAAAUCCCCGGGCUUAACCUGGGAACUGCAUUUGAAACUGUCAGGCUGGAGUCUUGUAGAGGGGGGUAGAAUUCCAGGUGUAGCGGUGAAAUGCGUAGAGAUCUGGAGGAAUACCGGUGGCGAAGGCGGCCCCCUGGACAAAGACUGACGCUCAGGUGCGAAAGCGUGGGGAGCAAACAGGAUUAGAUACCCGUGUAGUCCCUGUCUCUUAUAC
rnacentral:rRNA from 1 species